rnacentral:misc_RNA from 1 species
CGGGAUGCAUUUUAUGCAACUGAUUGGCUUUUGAGCGAGUGGAACCAAGACCCCACAGAUUGUAACAUCCGGGUAGAAGUUACAGUUCCAAAGGUGGAUGUUGGACAACUUAUUAGUGGUGGAAUGGAAGCUUUAAGUAAGGCUUUGAGAGAAGGUUUUAACGUAACGUACAUGUUUGAUACAAUUCCAAUGUGCUCUGAAUGUGUGCAUUCCGGUGGGAUAUGCGGAUCCAACUCUUCCACUUUCCGCUUCACUUGUCUUUGC